rnacentral:rRNA from 1 species
ACUCCUACGGGAGGCAGCAGUGGGGAAUAUUGCACAAUGGGCGCAAGCCUGAUGCAGCCAUGCCGCGUGUAUGAAGAAGGCCUUCGGGUUGUAAAGUACUUUCAGCAGUGAGGAAGGUGGAUAUGUUAAUAGCAUAUUCAUUUGACGUUAGCUGCAGAAGAAGCACCGGCUAACUCCGUGCCAGCAGCCGCGGUAAUACGGAGGGUGCGAGCGUUAAUCGGAAUUACUGGGCGUAAAGCGCAUGCAGGUGGUUUGUUAAGUCAGAUGUGAAAGCCCGGGGCUCAACCUCGGAAUUGCAUUUGAAACUGGCAAACUAGAGUACUGUAGAGGGGGGUAGAAUUUCAGGUGUAGCGGUGAAAUGCGUAGAGAUCUGAAGGAUACCGGUGGCGAAGGCGGCCCCCUGGACAGAUACUGACACUCAGAUGCGAAAGCGUGGGGAGCAAACGAGGAUUAGAUACCCUGGUAGGCU